rfam:Candidatus Burkholderia humilis strain TZHbot5 BHTMctg38, whole genome shotgun sequence.
GUAUUGUGGGGACCACCUCGCCAAAAAGGUGUUUGGCCUUAGCCAGCGAGGACGACUUGCACGCGAGAAUUUAGACCCCUUCGUGCAAACACCAGCCAGUCGUCGAUAGCAAGCGAAGCCGCUUUUUUGG